GAUCUGGCCAGGAUGAACGCUAGCGACAGGCUUAACACAUGCAAGUCGAGGGGCAGCAUAAUUUGUAGCAAUACAGAUUGAUGGCGACCGGCGCACGGGUGAGUAACGCGUAUGCAACUUACCUAUCAGAGGGGGAUAGCCCGGCGAAAGUCGGAUUAAUACCCCAUAAAACAGGGGUCCCGCAUGGGAAUAUUUGUUAAAGAUUCAUCGCUGAUAGAUAGGCAUGCGUUCCAUUAGG
rnacentral:rRNA from 1 species